AUAAAUGACUCUCGGCAACGGAUAUCUCGGCUCACGCAU
rnacentral:rRNA from 1 species